CCUACGGGAGGCAGCAGUGGGGAAUAUUGGUCAAUGGGCGCAAGCCUGACCCAGCCACGCCGCGUGAAGGAAGAAGGCCUUCGGGUUGUAAACUUCUUUUGUACGAGGGCAAAAGUAGUUACGCGUAUCCGUCUGAAAGUACCGUACGAAUAAGGAUCGGCUAACUCCGUGCCAGCAGCCGCGGUAAUACGGAGGAUUCAAGCGUUAUCCGGAUUUAUUGGGUUUAAAGGGUGCGUAGGCGGUCGGUUAAGUUAGGGGUGAAAUCCCGAGGCUCAACUGCGGAAUUGCCGUUGAUACUGUUCGGCUGGAGAGCAGUUGCGGUAGGCGGAAUGUGUGGUGUAGCGGUGAAAUGCUUAGAGAUCAUACAGAACACCGAUUGCGAAGGCAGCUUACCAAGCUGCUUCUGACGUUGAGGCACGAAAGCGUGGGUAGCAAACAGGAUUAGAUACCCCAGUAGUC
rnacentral:rRNA from 1 species